CCAGGCCCACAGGGUGGCCACGGUGCGCGCCCAGCACCGGGCAAAGCGCGCACACGCAGCGGCGGCAGCGGCGACAGAAGAGCUCAGCCACGCGGUCGCCAUGCUCCGGGCAGCGCCAGCCGUACAAGGAAUUUCAGAAACAACAUUAAAACAAUCAUUCAAACUGUUUCAGGCACGGUUUCAAUUAAAAGCAUAGAUUUGAUUUCUGACUUCCUGUUUCCUUCUAUGAUACAAUCUCAAGUUUUGUUUCAGGAAGCACAAUUAUUGUAGUGCUCAGAGCUGCUCUGAGCCCAUCCGCAAGUUUUUGAUCUCCAGUUCCAACUGUUUGGCCUGGACCUCUCGCUGGGUCAACAGCUCCCGGAGCCUUCGGAUCUCCUCCUGUUGCCGGUAGAACAUCUGCAGCA
rnacentral:lncRNA from 1 species